rnacentral:misc_RNA from 1 species
UGUAGGAGCGAGCCUGCUCGCGAUGGAAAGUCAGUUGGCCCCGAUGUGGCUGACUCUCCAUCGCGAGCUGGCUCGCUCCUACA